rnacentral:rRNA from 1 species
GACAGAGGGUGCAAACGUUGUUCGGAAUUACUGGGCGUAAAGCGCGUGUAGGCGGCUAUGCAAGUCGGAUGUGAAAGCCCCGGGCUCAACCUGGGAAUUGCAUUUGAGACUGCGUAGCUAGGGUGCGGAAGAGGGAAGCGGAAUUUCCGGUGUAGCGGUGAAAUGCGUAGAUAUCGGAAGGAACACCAGUGGCGAAAGCGGCUUCAUGGUCCAGCACCGACGUUCAGGCACGAAAGCGUGGGGAGCAAACAGG